AUGAACGCUAGCUACAGGCUUAACACAUGCAAGUCGAGGGGCAGCAUGGUCUUAGCUUGCUAAGGCCGAUGGCGACCGGCGCACGGGUGAGUAACGCGUAUCCAACCUGCCGUCCAGUAGGGGACAGCCCGUAGAAAUGCGGAUUAAUACCCCUAUGUUCUCCGAGGAUGACAUCAGAUUCGGAGUAAAGAUUCAUCGCUGGACGAUGGGGAUGCGUCUGAUUAGGCAGCAGGCGGGGCAACGGCCCACCUGGCCGACGAUCAGUAGGGGUUCUGAGAGGAAGGUCCCCCACAUUGGAACUGAGACACGGUCCAAACUCCUACGGGAGGCAGCAGUGAGGAAUAUUGGUCAAUGGGCGCGAGCCUGAACCAGCCAAGUAGCGUGAGGGAUGACUGCCCUACGGGUUGUAAACCUCUUUUGUUCGGGAAUAAAGUGCGGCACGCGUGCCGUUUUGUAUGUACCGUUCGAAUAAGGACCGGCUAAUUCCGUGCC
rnacentral:rRNA from 1 species